AUGAAGCAUAUUGUAAAGAUUUUGACGUUGGUAAUUGCCAUCACUGCUUUAUGGAUUGGCCUUCUACAAACUUCUAUCAUACCACAAAGUCAUACUUGGUUGCUACCAAUCUAUUUUGUCGUGUCUUUAGGAUGUUACGGUCUAUUAAUGGUUGGAGUUGGUCUGAUGAAUUUUCCUACAUGUCCUCAGGAAGCUCUGUUGUUGCAAAAGGAUAUUGUUGAGGCCAAGGAAUAUUUGAAUCAAAGAGGAGUUGAUGUUAGCACCAGCUGA